rnacentral:lncRNA from 1 species
CUCUCUCUCUCUCUGUUUGUUUCUUUUCCUCUCUGUCUCUCUCUAACCAAUCAAGAGUAUCUAGAGAGUGGCCCUGGGAUUCUAACUAGUGCACUCUAGUGACCCACAAAGCGCACCGAGUUGUCAAAUAUUCCCUUUCUGGAUUUGAUGUAUGGGUUUUAUUCUAUAGGAGAGUAGCCAUUUGGACAAAAUGGUGCAGAGCAGGAAGUUGUACAAAAUUGAGGUAUUGUCCAAGUUGAGUUUUGGUUGAAUUGUCUGAGUUGAGUUGGUCGCCAAUGGAUGUAAGAAUUUCAAGAUAUU